UUAUAUGAAUUGUUCAGAAUAUUUAAAUCAAGUAUUUUAACUUGAUAUGCGAAAGAGAAGUCAGAUAUGAGAUCCAAACCCUGAAUUGGGAUUGUGAUCAAGAGAUGAGAAUAAUAAUAUUAUAUUAUUGUUAUAAUGAUUUUACAGUACAAUAAUUAUGUACUGUGUAUGUGCGGACAGAUAAUAUUGAGCAAUGACGGUCAAUUAGGUCAUAGCAUAUUAUCGUGCUGUGAAACCCUAAUUAUUAAACUCAGUUAUGAGAAAUGACUGAGUAGCGACUGUGUAUAUAAAGUUACUGUGUACACGAAUGUCGGUAAUUAGAAGAAAACCCUAAUUACUAUUUUU
rnacentral:lncRNA from 1 species